GACGAACGCUGGCGGCGUGCCUAAUACAUGCAAGUCGAACGAGAGCGACCGGUGCUUGCACUGGUCAAUCUAGUGGCGAACGGGUGAGUAACACGUGGGUAACCUGCCCAUCAGAGGGGGAUAACAUCCGGAAACGGAUGCUAAAACCGCAUAGGUCUUCGAGCCGCAUGGCUUGAAGAGGAAAAGAGGCGCAAGCUUCUGCUGAUGGAUGGACCCGCGGUGCAUUAGCUAGUUGGUGAGGUAACGGCUCACCAAGUCCGUGAUGCAUAGCCGACCUGAGAGGGUGAUCGGCCACAUUGGGACUGAGACACGGCCCAACUCCUACGGGAGGCAGCAGUAGGGAAUCUUCCGCAAUGGACGCAAGUCUGACGGAGCAACGCCGCGUGAGUGAAGAAGGUUUUCGGAUCGUAAAACUCUGUUGUUAGAGAAGAACAAGUGCUAGAGUAACUGUUAGCGCCUUGACGGUAUCUAACCAGAAAGCCACGGCUAACUACGUG
rnacentral:rRNA from 1 species